rnacentral:rRNA from 1 species
ACGUAGGGUGCAAGCAUUAUCCGGAGUGACUGGGCGUAAAGAGUUGCGUAGGUGGUUAGUAAAGUGAAUAGUGAAACCUGGUGGCUCAACCAUACAGACUAUUAUUCAAACUCACUAACUCGAGAGUGGUAGAGGUAACUGGAAUUUCUUGUGUAGGAGUGAAAUCCGUAGAUAUAAGAAGGAACACCAAUGGCGUAGGCAGGUUACUGGACCAUUUCUGACACUGAGGCACGAAAGCGUGGGGAGCGAACGGGA